rnacentral:rRNA from 1 species
AUACGUAUGAGGCAAGCGUUGUUCGGAAUUAUUGGGCGUAAAGGGCAUCUAGGCGGGAUAUUAAGUCAGGUGUGAAAGCCAAGGGGCUCAACCCUUGAACUGCAUCUGAUACUGGUAUUCUUGAGUUCGGAAGAGGAAGGCGGAAUUCCCGGUGUAGCGGUGAAAUGCGUAGAUAUCGGGAAGAACACCGGUGGCGAAGGCGGCCUUCUGGUCUAGAACUGACGCUGACAUGCGAAAGUGUGGGGAUC